AUUGAACGCUGGCGGCAGGCCUAACACAUGCAAGUCGAGCGAGCGGCGGACGGGUGAGUAAUGUAUGGGGACUGCCCGAUAGAGGGGGAUAACUACUGGAAACGGUGGCUAAUACCGCAUACUAUCGGAUAACCCAUAUGGGAUUAGCUAGUAGGUGGGGUAAAGGCUCACCUCGGCGACGAUCUCUAGCUGGUUUGAGAGGAUGAUCAGCAACACUGGGACUGGGAAACGGCCAGAACGCCUACGGAGGAAGCAGGGGGGAAUAUUGCACAAGGGGCGCAAGCCUGAUGCAGCCAUGCCGCGUGUAGGAAGAAGGCCUUAGGGUUGUAAAGUACUUUCAGCGGGGAGGCGUUACCCGCAGAAGACGCACCGGCUAACUCCGUGCCAGCCGCCGCGGUAAUAC
rnacentral:rRNA from 1 species